rnacentral:rRNA from 1 species
GACGAGGGGGUGCGAGCGUUUAUUCGGAAUUAUUGGGCGUAAAGGGUGUGUAGACGGUAUAUUAAGUCUGUUGUUAAAUCUCCCGGCUCAACCGGGAAUAUGUGGUGGAUACUGGUAUACUAGAGGGUGGAAGAGAGAAGUGGAAUUCUCGGAGUAGCGGUAAAAAUGCGUAGAUCUCGAGAGGAACACCAAUGGCGAAGGCAGCUUCUUGGUCCAUUUCUGACGUUGAAACACGAAAGCGUGGGGAGCAAACAGGG